rnacentral:tRNA from 1 species
UCAUCGGUGGUUCAGUGGUAGAAUGCUCGCCUGCCACGCGGGCGGCCCGGGUUCGAUUCCCCGGCUAAUGCA